rnacentral:lncRNA from 1 species
CCUUGUACAGAAGAAACAGAAGUGAUGCUCUUGCUAACCAAUUUUCUUGGUCCUCCCUCUCUGAAAAACUGAAGAAGUGCUCUUCCGCAUGGACAAGACCCUGGUUUUCCUUUGAGUCUUAGAAUCACCAUAUAGGAAAAUUCAGAGGAGACUUGUUCCCCCAGUACCCACCCCGCACUGUGCAGAAGACCCCAGAUGGAGUUGUAUCAUUCUUUCUAGCUUGGUGUCUACCACGGCCAACAGCUUGCUGUGCCAGCACUCCCGAUCCCCAGCUCAGGUAAGGGUGCUGCUGCUUCGUAUGUGGCUUUGUGGUGUGAUGUAGGAGGGGUGAGUGAGCCUUCUGGUGGAAUUAGGAUUCCUUAUAUCACCAGUCUUACCACAAGGGAGAGCAAGGCUUUA